rnacentral:tRNA from 1 species
GCGAUGGUGGUAUAGUGGUGAGCCUGCCUUCCAAGCAGUUGACCUGGGUUCGAUUCCCAGCCAUCGCA